UACGGAGGGUGCAAGCGUUGUCCGGAUUUAUUGGGUUUAAAGGGUGCGUAGGCGGCCCCCUAAGUCAGUGGUGAAAUACUGCAGCUUAACUGUAGCAUUGCCAUUGAUACUGGGGGGCUUGAGUACAGAUGAGGUAGGCGGAAUUGAUGGUGUAGCGGUGAAGUGCAUAGAUACCAUCAAGAACACCGAUUGCGAAGGCAGCUUACUAAGCUGUAACUGACGCUGAGGCACGAAAGUGUGGGGAGCAAACAGG
rnacentral:rRNA from 1 species